AUUGGGAAGAACACCAGUGGCGAAGGCGCUCUACUGGGCCGUAACUGACGCUGAGGGACGAAAGCUAGAGGAGCGAAAGGGAUUAGAUACCCCUGUAGUCCUAGCUGUAAACGAUGGAUACUAGGUGUUGGACGUAUCGACCCGUUCAGUACCGCAGCCAACGCGAUAAGUAUCCCGCCUGGGGAGUACGCACGCAAGUGUGAAACUCAAAGGAAUUGACGGGGGCCCGCACAAGCGGUGGAGUAUGUGGUUUAAUUCGAUGCAACGCGAAGAACCUUACCAGGGCUUGACAUCCCUCGAAUCCUCUUGAAAGAGAGGAGUGCCUUCGGGAGCGAGGAGACAGGUGGUGCAUGGCUGUCGUCAGCUCGUGUCGUGAGAUGUUGGGUUAAGUCCCGCAACGAGCGCAACCCACGUCCUUAGUUGCCAUCAUUAAGUUGGGCACUCUGGGGAGACUGCCGGGGACAACUCGGAGGAAGGUGUGGAUGACGUCAAGUCAUCAUGCCCCUUACGUUCUGGGCUACACACGUACUACAAUGCUUCGGACAAAGAGCAGCCAACUAGCGAUAGUGAGCUAAUCUCAUAAACCGAGGCACAGUUCAGAUUGCAGGCUGCAACUCGCCUGCAUGAAGGAGGAAUCGCUAGUAAUCGCCGGUCAGCAUACGGCGGUGAAUACGUUCCCGGGCCUUGUACACACCGCCCGUCACACCAUGGGAGUUGGCCACGCCC
rnacentral:rRNA from 1 species